AAAGCUUAUCUCUCAUGUGGCAUAGUAUUUACUUUAAUUUUCAAAGACUUUCAUAUUGAUCUUAAGGGAGAAGACUUCAGAGAACUCAUGUGCACUGACUAUUUUAAUGCCAAGACCUUGAAUCGCAUGAACUUUAUAAGGUUUAGGGUAGAUGGGUUUGGAUGGAGUCGGGAUAGGAGUAGGCCAGAGGAGAAGUUGAGGG
rnacentral:lncRNA from 1 species